rnacentral:rRNA from 1 species
GCAGUCGUACGCUUCUUUUUCCACCGGAGCUUGCUCCACCGGAAAAAGAGGAGUGGCGAACGGGUGAGUAACACGUGGGUAACCUGCCCAUCAGAAGGGGAUAACACUUGGAAACAGGUGCUAAUACCGUAUAACAAUCGAAACCGCAUGGUUUUGAUUUGAAAGGCGCUUUCGGGUGUCGCUGAUGGAUGGACCCGCGGUGCAUUAGCUAGUUGGUGAGGUAACGGCUCACCAAGGCCACGAUGCAUAGCCGACCUGAGAGGGUGAUCGGCCACAUUGGGACUGAGACACGGCCCAAACUCCUACGGGAGGCAGCAGUAGGGAAUCUUCGGCAAUGGACGAAAGUCUGACCGAGCAACGCCGCGUGAGUGAAGAAGGUUUUCGGAUCGUAAAACUCUGUUGUUAGAGAAGAACAGGGAUGAGAGUAACUGUUCAUCCCUUGACGGUAUCUAACCAGAAAGCCACGGCUAACUACGUGCCAGCAGCCGCGGUAAUACGUAGGUGGCAAGCGUUGUCCGGAUUUAUUGGGCGUAAAGCGAGCGCAGGCGGUUUCUUAAGUCUGAUGUGAAAGCCCCCGGCUCAACCGGGGAGGGUCAUUGGAAACUGGGAGACUUGAGUGCAGAAGAGGAGAGUGGAAUUCCAUGUGUAGCGGUGAAAUGCGUAGAUAUAUGGAGGAACACCAGUGGCGAA